GUGAAUGUUUCAAUUAAUAACCUUAAUUAGCAUUGAAAAGCCUCGCAACUUCAAAGCCUGCCUGAUUCCUGCCUGUGGAGAAUCCUUUUUUGGGAGGUGUUAGCUGGCCCUGAUUGUUUCAUAUCUGGGAAUCCCGUUUUCUGAAUGUUGUUAUUUAUUUACUGUCCUGAUUUUAGAGUUUUAUUUUCAAUACUGUUAUAAGAUUGUGUUCAUUUUCAUGGUUUCCUCCUUUCUGUUUAAACUGUCCACAUGCUUGUGGAUUUCAAUGGCUUUUCCGUGUAGUCCAGUGAUGUAGCAUUACAUAUUCGUUUUGGAGCUGCGAUGAAAUCCUCCCUGGUCGAUGUAAGCGGAGUCUCCCACCCCCCGUCUUUCUAGGCCUUAAUGGAAGCCAAAGAAACACGCAAACAAACGCACACGCGUGGACCGCAGAGCCCUGUGGCUGCUCCUGCCUGAGAGUCACGCACGAUGUAGCUCUAAAGCGGGCCGCCUCAAUGGCCGGGUGGUUUUGUCGCCGCCGCUGGCUCCAUCUCAGCGCCGGUGGCUCCUUAAGGGCGCCCUUCCCAGAGUGGGCAAGGCAAGCAAGCAAGCCCUUGGAGGGAGAAAGUAGAGGCCCGCUUCAAGAGCCAGGGCGGCGCCUUCCCUCUCGGCAAGAGGAGCUUUUCCAUCCAGACCUCCGGGUAUUUUCUCUCCCGCCCCCCAAAAAACUCCCAAGCAAACCCAAAGCCUCCAUUCUCUUGGCAAGGCCUUGCACUCCUCCUCUGCUUGAAACCUGCCCUCGCAGUGCAGCUCUGGCUUGGAAGGAAAGGCCGUUGCAACGAAGCCGAAUGAAAUAAGAGAUCCGGGCGCAGAGAUAUGAGAUUGAGCAUGUGUGUAUGUGGAUCACUUCUAGGCCUGAUCAGUGGAUUCCUGGGAAAGUGGGAAAGCAUUUAUUUGCUCCCUUAGAAGCUCGUUUGGGUCGGAAAGCGCCUUCGUUUUCGUGUCCACUUGGUGGGACUUUCCAUUUCAUCGACGAAAGAGAAGCCCCUUGAAAGCUUCGGAAACCAAAGGCCUUUGGAAACGGUUUUCUCUUCUUUUUAGAUCCAAAUGCUGCCUUUCGAAAGGAAAUCUUGGCCUCAUUGUUGAAAAUAUGAAUUCAGAGAACUCAAACAACUAAUAAAAUCAUUUAAUCGUCUAGGAAAUGAGAUGUCAAUUUCCCCGACUCGGAGGUUGUUAGAAGUUCGUGGUUUCAUAGCUGUUCUGUUAUUGUUGAGUUUUGACUUAGAGGGUUUUUUUUUAAAAAUGUCGAAGAUCAAAGAAUAAAGGCAAAAGCAACAACAGCGAAACGGGAUUGUGGAAGAUCGAAGAAUUGAACGCCAAAAUACAGAGUGGGAAGAACUGCAGCAAGAUCCCUCUUGCAAGUCGAAUUUAAAUCUCUAUUAAACUCUUUGGAGUAUUGCUGGAACAAGACGCAUUUCGACUCUUUAAUGUCGAAAAGAUAAGCUAGAGAUAUAUUUUCAGGGAGAUCGAGAGAAACCUCAGCACGAGGGACUGAUAUCUAUUCCCUCUUUCCAUCUAAUUUGAGUAAAUGUGUUGUCGAAGGUUUUCAUGGCCGGAAUCACUGGGUUGCUGUGAGUUUUCCUGACUGUAAGCAAUUCUUCUGGAACAGGGCUAUCCAGCCCGGAAAACUCGCAACAACCCAAUUUGUGCAAACAUCAAAUUAAACUUUUACUUUUUAAGAUUCUUAGAUGCUUACCUGCCUAUAAAAGACUUCAAAAAUCUUCCAAGAGAAAAUAAAAUAGUUUAUCGUUUGCAUCAUUGCCCGGAACAGUUCCUAGCGGCAACUAAUAUUUAAUGAGAUUCCUGGUUAAGAUUUGAGAACAAAAACAAUUUGAGGAGGAAACAGAGUAGCCAGAGAUUGCUGAGUUAGGCAGGUUUACGUUAUUAGGUGGCUCCAGUUUUAAAAUAAAGCAUGCCCCUGUUGCUGAAACCGUUUGUUUUCUUUCUCUUUAUUUCUUUUCUAUUUUGAGACAGGACCUUCUAAGAACCGAGGUGAAUUUCCCAAUCUAAUAAUUUCCUUUGUAGUGUUAUUUUGGAACGAAAGUGGGUGCUCCAGCUCUGGUAGGUAUUCUUCUUUUGAAGUUUGCGCUUAUUUUGAUUUUGUUGUCCUUGCUAAUAUGACCAAUACCCUCCCGCUCACUUGUCCCUGCUGAGGUUGGGCUGAACACGUGUAUCUGAAGGACAACGGGCUGACUCCAGGGUUUAAGAGAUACAAGGUAAAGCAUCGAAAAGAAAGGAGAAGUUUUGCUACAGAAUUAAGAAGGGCGCAGAUCGCAUCUCAAGGGUAGGAUUUGCCUGAUACAGCCUGGUACAGCCCGAUUCCCAGGCCAAUUAAGACAGAAGCCUUGGAUUUAAACAGAUAGAGAAGGCUAGGAACCUACCUCUACUCUAAUCCCAAUCCUGUUUACUGGGAAGUGAAUGUCCUUGGCAGAAAUGACCUCUUUCUAAGGAGCCGAGAUUUUGCCUGGGGAAUCCCACUGAUGUCCAGUCCACAGCAUCCCCAAGCGUCAGGUGGUUCCAUUGGUCAGUCCUCGGUUAUUCAGCGAUUGCAUUGACACCCUCUCUCUCUCUCUCUCUCUCUCUCUCUCUCUUUCUGUGUGUAUCUGCCUUCAGGUCGCCUAUGGUGCCUCCAUGGGAUUCAUAAAGGGUUUUCUUUGUCAAGGAAAGUGUGUUGUCGAAAGCUUUCACGGCCAGAAUCACUGGGUUUCUCUGAGUUUUCCGGGCUGUAUGGCCGUGUUCCAGAAGCAUUCUCUCAUGACGUUUCGCCCACAUCCAUGGCAGGCAUCCUCAGAGGUUUCUAAGGUCUGUUGGAAACUAGGCAAGUGGGGUUUAUAUAUCUGUGGAAUGUCCAGGUUGGGAGAAAGAACUCUUGUCUGUUGGAAGCAAGUGUGAAUGUUGCAAUUGGGCAGCUUGAUUAGCACUGAAUGGCCUUGCAGCUUCAAGGCCUGCCUGAUUCUUGCCUAGGGGAAUCCUUUGUUGGGAGGUGUUAGCUGGCUCUGAUUGUUUAUUUAUUUCCGGUAUUUCUACCCGCCCUUCUCCCCAGGGGACUCAGGGCGGCUUACACAGCUGGCAGGAUCACUACCAGUAUAUCAUAAUAAAAUAAAAUAAUAAAACAGUUAAAAAACAGUUUCAUCUCUGGAAUUCCCCUGUUCUACAUAGGGACCACCAAACGCAGCAUUGUCCAGACAGGAAUCAAGGAACAUGAAAGACACUGCAGACUAACUCAAUCGGAGUUUGAGUUAGUCAGCCAUAGCAGACACUUGAUGAACCAACCUGGACAUAGCAUAUUAUUUGAGAACACAUAAAUCCUGGACCCCUCUAACAACCACCAUGUCACACUACACAGGGAAGCCACUGAAAUACACGAGCAUGCGGACAAUUUCAACAGAAAGGAGGAAACCAUGAAAAUGAACAAAAUCUGGCUACCAGUAUUUAAAAACUCUAAAAUCAGGACAGUAAAUAAAGAACAACAUUCAGAAAACUGGGGAAAUCCAGACAUGAAACAAUCGGGGUCAGCUAACACCUCCCAACAAAGGAUUUCUCCAGGCAGGCCUUGAAGUUGCAGGCUUUUCAAUGCUAAUCAAGAUGAUCAAUUGCAACACUCACGCUAGCCUUCAAUAGACAAGAGUUCUUUCUCCCACCCUGGACCUUCCACAGAUAUAAAAUCCUCCCUUGUCUAGUUUCCAAUAUACUUCACAGCCUCUGGGGAUGCCUGCCACAGAUGUGGGCGAAACGUUAGGAGACAAUGCUUCUAGAACAUGGCCAUACAGUCCAGAAAAAUCACAGCAACCGACUAAAGAGAGUAUUUGGCUAGCCCCUUCCUCUGAAAUACAACCUACAGCACCUUCUAUGAGCUACUGGUCUCAAAUCCAAAUACCCCACAGGGGGCUGACCGUGCUUAGCUUCCCAGAUCAGACAGGAUCCGGUGCCUUUAAGACUGGAUUCAUUCCGAAUGGAGGCUUAAAGUAUCCUCCUACAAUUCCGUGGGUCUAUUGGGCAGUUUAAAAGCCUAGUGAAGCGACAGUAUCUAAAAGUGCUCUGCUGUCUAUCCUUUUAGCCUGGAACCAAGGGCAAGCGAACAGGAACCGGAUCUCGUUGCCCCAAAGCGCGGGGCCCACGCAGGACGGUCCUCACCCUCCAACAGCACUUCCUCUCCGGAUUGGGGACCUGCCUUCCUCCGUGACAUUUCGAACAAACUCUUCCGGGGAGAGAAAGUUUCUUGUUGAAACUGGCCAUCUUCUUCCUCACUUUGAUGGGCGUGUGUAUACUGUGUCGAAGGCCUUCUUGACUACAACCCCCCUUUCUUUUUUUUCCCUUUCAAUGUUUUCUCUGCCAAUCUCCAAUUCUCUCGGAAUUGGGUUGCUGUGAGUUUUCCGGGCUGUAUGGCCAUGUUCCAGAAGCAUUCUCUCUUGAAGUUUCGCCCACAUCUAUGGCAGGCAUUCUCUGAGGUUGUGAGGUUUGUUGGAAACUAGGUCAGUGAGUGUGGAAGGUCCAGAGUGGGAGAAAGAACUCUUUUCUGUUGGAGGCAAGUGUGAAUGUUGUAAUUAAUCACUUUGAUUAGCACUGGAAAACCUUGCAGCUUCAAAGCCUGACUGAUUUCUGCCUGGGGGAAUCCUUUGUUGGGAGGUGUUAGCUAGUCCUGAUGGUUUCAUGUCUGGAAUUCUCCUCUUUUCAGAGUGUUGUUUUCUAUUUACUGUGCUGAUUUUAAAGUUUUUUCAGUGCUAAUCAAGGUGAUUAAUUGCAACAUGCACAGUUGCCUCCAACGGACAAGAGUUCUUUCUUCCACCCUGGACCUUCCACAGAUAUAUAAACUUCACUUGCUUAGUUUUCAACGGACUUCACAACCUCUGAGGAUACUUGCCAUAGAUGCAGGCGAAACGUCAGGAGAGAAUGCUUUUGGAACACGGCUAUACAGCCCGGAAAACUUAAACCAACCCAGUGAUUCCGGCCAUGAAGGCCUUCGACAGCACAUUCUCUUGAGAUUCUUCGCCCUGAGUGGACUAUGAGGAGAGAAAGAGGAGGGCGAAGCUGCUAAAAACAAGGAGAGUGAAUGCAAUGCGAGGAGGAGUAGGAGAGAGAAGAGGGGAGACAAUGCGUUUGAACGGCUUUAAUUAUUCUUUCUCUUUUCUCCUCUUCAGGGGAGUCGCCCAUUUCUCCACCCUUUCCAUCUCUUUUCCCUCUCCCCCCACUUUGCAUCUGUUGAGUACUUUUGAGUCCCUUCCCAGUAGUUUCAUGGGGAGGACUCUCCAAUAGCUUCUGACCCCGCGCAAUCCGGUUGGUCACACUCCAGGAUGGAGGAAGAAAGGUGGUGGUGGUGGGGGGGGGAGGCCAAAGAGUGGAGGAAAAAGGGGGGUGUCUUUGUCAAUCAAACGCGGGCAAAACCAAAGAGGACGGGGCCAACCUGCCUCCUGGCCACUUCAAUUUGCUUUGCGGAGUUGUGGAUGGGGCGCAAAACCACGGUGAGGAAAAUCCCACCCCAAAAAUAUAAAGCCAGAGGGGUUCUCUGAAGGGGAGAAGGGCGAUGCACCCCACAACCCCUCUCCUUCCAAGCACUUUCGAAGUGGAAAGAGAUCAUGAAGAAACACAUCUGCAAGAUCUUUGCAGAACUGGAGCGGUUUGGCUGAAUUGGGCGGUUGAGGAGAAGGAGGAAUUCCUAAACUUGUUUCCCAUCUCCAUUCAACUGCGUCCAUUAAAUAGACUUGUGUCCAUUGCAGUGCCCAACCUCAGCUUAGUGUAAAACGAUUCUUAGCAUCUAGUCCCUUUCAAAACGUUUCAGAAUCAAUGUGCAAGAUUUUCGGGCAGUGUAUUUUCCCAAAAAUGGGGAAAUAAUGUCGGCCUUGAGCCAACAGGCCUCAGGUGAGCGCUUUGAUGUCUGGAGAUCUGCUUUGCGUGAAAAUCUCGGUAUAAAACCGGCUUCCAAGGAGAGAGCUUAAGAUGGCGUCCUUCAUUAGGAACACUAGAGAAACUCUUGCUGAAAUUAAGCGCCCGCUUAGAUACUUGGCUCCCACAGACUUAAUGAAUGGCAGCCCUUAAACCAAAGGAGCCUCCAAGUGCGUCUUCCCAAGGCGGUUCUCGCUCCUCCACGGGGUGGUUUCAGGUCAACGCUAGACUCCAAAUCCUCUCGGAAAAAUGUGAACUCAGUGAAUUUCGUUGUCGAAGGCUUUCAUGGCCGGAAUUACUGGGUUGCUGUGAGCUUUCCGGGCUGUAUGGCCAUGUUUCAGAAGCAUUCUCUCCUGACGUUUCGCGUGCUUCUUUGGCAGGCAUGCUCAGAAGUUGAGCAUGCUUGUUGAAAACUAAGCAAGUGGGGUUUAUAUAUCUGCGGAAUGUCCAAGGUGGGAGAAAGAAUUCUCAUCUUUUAGAAGUGUGGAUGUUGCAAUUAAUCACCUUGAUUAACAUUGAUUAGGAAUGGCAGCUUCAAAGCCUGGCUGCUUCCUGCCUAGGGGAAUUCUUUGUUGGGAGGUGUUAGCUGGCCCUGAUUGUUUCUUGUCUGGAAUUCCCGUUUUCUGAAUGUUGUUCUUUAUUUACUGUCCUGAUUUUAGAGUUUUUAAAUAGUUAUUGCAAGAUUUGGUUAAUUUUCAUAGUUUCCCCGUUUCUGUUGAAAUUGUCUACAUGCUUGUAGAUUUCAAUGACUUCUUUGUGAUAUAAUGGUUGUUAGAUUAACUCAACCAGAGAAGUCAGCCAUAGCAGAGCACUUGAUGGACCAACCUGGACACAACAUAUUAUUUGAGAGCACAGAAAUGCUGGACCACUCGAACAACCACCAUGUCAGACAACCCAGAGAAGCCACUGAAAUCCGCAGGCAUGUGGGCAAUUUCAACAGAAAGGCGAAAACCACGAAAAUGAACAAAAUCUGUCCUCCAGUAUUGAAAAAACUCUAAAAUCAGGAGAGUGUAUAAAGAACACCACUCAGAAAACAGGGGAAUUCCAGACAAGAAACAUCAGGGCCAGCUAACACCUCCCAACAUAAGAUUCCCCCAGGUAGGAAGCAGCCAGAUUUUGAAACUGCAAGGCCAUUCAAUGCUAAUCAAUUAAUUGAAACGUUCACACUUGCCUUCACCAGACAAGAGUUCUUUCUCCCACCCUGGACCUUCCACAGAUAUAUAAACCUCCCUUGAUUAGUUUCCGAUAUACCUCACAACCUCUAAGGAUACCUGCCAUAGAUGCAGGCGAAACGUCAGGAGAGAAUGCUUCUGGAACAUGGCCAUAGAGCCUGGAAAACUCACAGCAACUCAAUUAAUUUCACUCUUCAUCAGAGACCAAAUAAGCUUGUUUCAUCUGCCCCUUUUAAUGGCACUAACACAGAGCAGGGCUACAAUCCCUGAUCCAUUCUGAGAGCCAGAUCUGGUGACACCGUAGUGCUAUAGGACCCACCAAAUCAACGCAAAACUGUGAGCACCUCCCCCCCUCCGAGAUUUCCAGGUAUCUUCACCAGACAGGCUAAAUAUUACAAAAAAGCUGGUGAAGGAAAGUCACUUUAUUAUGAAGCUACAAAAAGUGUUUUUGAUCAGAAGGUCCAGGGUGGAAGGUCCAGGGUGGGAAAAGUGGAUGAAGCUUUGCUAGGUGUCAUGCAGCCUGUGCCCAGAACUGCUGAAAGAAAGGAGAACGGCUGGCCCUCCCCAUUCUUUUAAACUAUAAGCUUUAGUAGGAUUUUUCUUCUAGUGAAAGCAAACACGCCGGGAGACUCAUUCUUUGCAAAGGUAAAGGCAACCACGUUUUCAGACUAGCAACAAAGAAUGUUAAUUCACAUUGAUGAACUAGGUUUAAACAUUAAAUAUCUAAACUAAUAAAAAUGGUUGGUGUAGUAGUUGAAGGGAAGACACUUGAAUAAGAUUCCAUAUUUAUGGGCUGUUAUAUUCGAAUAUUAUGAUAUAUGUUUUCCACUGAAUGUAGGCAAAUGAAUUCCAAGUUAGAUAUAUUUCAGAAGCAUUUGCUGAAGUUAAGUGGCUGAAAUUGGAGAGUUCUGAGUAAAUUGCAGUUUGUGAAUUCUAUUGUCAAACGUUUGGGGCUGCGUCUUACACAGAGGGAAGGAGCUGAGGAUAAUUUUCAUGAGCGGUAGGUUGUUUGCAAUAAAAUGAGGCUAAACACCUGCCUUCUGCCUUCACUUCUCCUGCUUGAGAUUUGCCUUUCUCAAGGUAAGCAGAAAGGGAAGGCAUUAAGGCGUUUCUCUGUUUCCUUGGCCAGUGGUGUAGACAGUUUUAGACUUUGGAUAGUGGUCAUCAACCUCCUCUCUUAUUAUGGUGAGUUCAGAGUUAUGUUGUUUGGCUGACUUCAACAUGACAUAUAUCGGCCUUGCUCUAUUCUAUUGGCUGGGCCUCUGCCUCAAAGUCCUAUCAAGGCACAGCCUUGCUGUGUGGAAGGGCUCAGGGCCCUUCCACACAGCCACAUAACCCAGAAUAUCAAGGUAGAAAAUCCCAUAAUAUCUGAUUUAACUGAUAUUAUCUGAGUUCACACUGCCAUAUAUUCCAGUUCAAAGCAGAUAAUGUGGGAUUUUAUUCAGCUGUGUGGAAGGGGCCUCCAAUGAAGAUUGGAAUUUACUUCUGGAAUAGACUGAAAUUUCUUGGAGUACUUCGAUUAAAAGUAGAUUAAAGCUACUGGCAUCAUAAACAUUCGGGUGAAUUGAAAUCCAGGAGAACUCCUACUAAAAUAGUCCAGGGCCCUUCCACACAACCCUAUAUCCCAGAAUAUCAAGGCAGAAAAUCCCACAAUAUCUGUUUGAACUGGAUUAUCUGAGUCCACACUCAGAUAAUAUGGGAUUUUCUGCCUUGAUAUUCUGGGAUAUAGGGCUGUGUGGAAGGGCUCUCAUUUAAUCUUAAAGGUGCUACUAGUUAGAUCCAUUUUCCCCCUUUUCUGUUUCUGAUACUUCUUUUUUUAUAAUUCUAAAAAUAACACCUUUGUAGAAAGUUGAUUCUUAAAGAAUGAAAUACAACCUCCUCUUUCUGAGUUAGUUAAAAAAAAUUCCAAUAACCCACUACAGCAAGAAUGUUCUUAAGCAACAGCCUUUUAAGUACUAAGAGGCUUACAGGAGGUUUUCAAGGAACCAAUACCUUGCCCUACCUAGAGAACUGAUAGUAACCUAGGUCUACUGAAUAAAGAAGAUAGUUUGGUGCAGAAAACUCCUACACACAAUCUAUGAUAAGUUAAAUUUCACUGAACACUUUUGCCUUAAUCCAAAUGCAAGUCCCAAAUAAAGUAGACAAUUAAAGCAACUGAAUUUGUAUGUGUGAUUUUAUCCAAUAAGUAGCUGGCUUGAUUUUGGCCUAUUGGGUGCACUGUUGUGUCUAAUUAAUCAAUAUAUAAUUGAUGUACUGCUGUAGUAAUCACAAUAUUUUCUUAGUUCUCUCAACUGGUUCCCAUUUCCUUCAUCUCUUUCCUUCUGGUAUGGCCAGAAUAGCACACUUCAGUUUCCAUGCAGGAGACCACAUCUAGAAGACAUCUUGCUGAAGAAAAUUGAAAGUGAACACAGGCCUUCUGACAUAUGAUAUCAAUCAAUCAAUCAUUUAUUCAAAAACAAGCUGAUUGGGUGGCUGUAGCCUCACCUUCUUGGAUUCCACUGAUGGGAAUCAUGAGUCCUCCAAAUGUUGGACUGCAAGUGGCAGCAUCCCUAAUCAGAGGAGUCUACCGUAUCCCAUGCAGCUGUGGACAAGUCUACAUAGAGACCCCCAGACGCAGCAGUGCCCAAACACGAAUCAAGGAACACGAAAGGCCCUGCAGACUAACUCAGCCAGAGAGGUCAGCCAUAACAGAGCACUUGAUGAACCAACCUGGACGCAGAAUAUGAUUUGAGAACAUGGAAACCACUCUAACAACCACCAUGUCAGACUAUGCAGAGAAGCCACUGGAAUCCGCAAGCAUGUGGACAAUUUCAACAGAAAGGAAGAAACCAUGAAAAUGAACAAAAACUGGCUACCAGUAUUUAAAAAAACUCUAAAAUCAGGACAGUAAAUAAAGAAUAUCACUCUGAAAACAGGGGAAUUCCAGACAAGAAACAAUCAGGGGCAGCUAACACUUCCCAACAAAGGACUCCCCCAGGCGGGAAUCAGCCAAGUCUUGAAGUUGCGGUCAAGGUGAUUAAUUGCAACAUUCACACUUUCCUCCAACAGAGUUCUUUCUCCCACCCUGGGUCUUCCACAGAUAUAUAAACCUCCCUUGCCUAAUUUCCAAUAUACCCCCCCCCCCCCACAACCUCUGAGGAUGCCUACCAUAGAUGCAGGCAAAAAGUCAGGAUAGAAUGCUUCUGGAACACGGUCAUACAGCCGGAAACGCACAACAACACAGUAAUUCCGGCCAUGAAAGCCUUCGACAACACAAAUCCUACGAAAUCCAUAGAUCCUUAGAAGUUGGCAGGCAACUCGAAGGCGCCCAUACAUUACACAAGUACCAUUUUAAUUUUGGGUCUUGAUUAAGAGAGGAAAACGGGACCCACAACAACAAAACACAAACCAGGCGCCAUCUCCGUUGAAGACAGUGCAGCUUAAUGCCCGAUUAAAUAUACUCAGGUGGCAAAAAUGGAAAUGGCUGCACAGCGUUUUCAGCAAGGGAGGUCUCUGUAAAUGCUAGGAACAAGCUCGCCGAAGAGGAACUUUUUGAAAGAGCCUGGCAACGACCCGUAAAUGUUAGCUGCUUGCUUUAUGCUGCCGCAGGAGAGGAAGAUAAACAGCUUUGGCUUUUGGCAACACUCACUAGGCAUACAUGUGGGCACGCCUUGAACACUGACUGGGGGAAAAGAGUGCUCCGGGGAAAGGAAAAUGAACUGGAUUGCCAUGUUUUGUUAUCUGUGUUUUAUUGCCCUUGCCCCUCACAACGCCAAGAAGGGGAGUGGCCUUUGAAAUCCCUCUCGAUCUGCGGCUGCCAGCUUUUGGUCCUCCUGGAAUUUGGGGCUUCUGGGAGUUGAAGUCCCAAACUCCUGGAGGACCAAAGGUUGGAACACACUGCUUUUGAGCAUCUUAACCAUCAACGGAAGCCAUCUAAGACAAAUUGAGGGCCUGUGAUUCCAACAUCUUCACUAUUAAAAAAAUAUUAGCUAACACAUAUUUUGGCUCUUCAAAUGUUAGCCCUAUUUCUGGGUAAACUUUACCUGCUGAUUCCAAAUAAUAGCACCAGCUGUUCCUUAUCAGCUCUAGUUUCUGAUAUACAGAACAUGUGGCAUCUAUCAGUCAUGUGCUCACCCAUAGAAAGCCAUGAUAACCAUAUCCAACAAACUAGAGCUGUUGCAGUCCAUACAAUAUAGUUUUCUGAAUCAGCAUCCUAAUAACCCCGGGAACAAACCUAAAAACCAAGACUAGUUGUUGUUGUUGGGCUCUGUAAUAGAAUAAUAGAGUUGGAAGAGACCACAAAGGCCAUAAAGUCCAACCCCGUCAUGCAGGAAAGCACUUUUAUCAUUUUAAACACCUUUGUUUGAUGAAGAUGCCAAUGAAGUUUACGACACUUUAAAAAAUCUUCCAACAAGUGUAUGGAAUGAGGAAGUUGCCGCUGCAGUGGAUGAUGAAGCAGCUGCUCCCCCUGUGGCUGGAAUCGAGCAUACCCUCAGGAAGCUGGAAGCUGGAGAAGUUUAAAUUGCCUCUAUGUCUGUCUCUGUUCUAUGUGUAUAUGGCAUUGAAUGUUUGCCAAUUAUGUGUAUAUUGUGAUCCGCCCUGAGUCCCCUUCGGGGUGAGAAGGGCAGAAUAUAAAUACUGUAAAUAAAUAGCUUGCAUGGUGUAUUUUGUGCACUGAAGUGGGCCAAUAAAAAUAUUGCUCCUUUG